GCUGAAACACCGGUUCUCGUUCGAUCACCGAAGUUAAGCAUCGUAGAGCCAGGUCAGUACUUAGAUGGGGGACAGCAAACAAACACCUGG